AGUGAACGCUGGCGGCAGGCCUAACACAUGCAAGUCGAACGGCAGCACAGUAAGAGCUUGCUCUUACGGGUGGCGACUGGCGGAUGAGUGAUGAAUACAUCGCCAUCUACUUUUUCUUGGGUGAUUACGUGGGGACACUUACGCUAAUACCGCAUACGACCUACGGGUGAGAUCAUUGGAUCUUCGGACCUUGCGUGAUUCUAUGAGCCGAUGUCGCAUUAGCUAGUUGGCGGGGUAAAGGCCCACCAAGGCGACGAUCCGUAGCUGGUCUGAGAGGAUGAUCAGCCAAACUGGAACUGAGACACGGUCCAGACUCCUACGGGAGGCAGCAGUGGGGAAUAUUGGACAAUGGGCGAAAGCCUGAUCCAGCCAUACCGCGUGGGUGAAGAAGGCCUUCGGGUUGUAAAGCCCUUUUGUUGGGAAAGAAAAGCAGUAGGUUAAUACCCCGCUGUUCUGACGGUACCAAAAGAAUAAGCACCGGCUAACUUCGUG
rnacentral:rRNA from 1 species